UCUCUUUUCAUAUUUCCUAUUUAUUUACGGAAACUGAGGUGGGAACAGGCGAUUUCCCAGCUGCUUGGCAGUUUAAAUGUGAAUGUUUGCUUUAGGAAAUGGAAGAAAGGAGAAAGUAGAUGAGCUGGAAAAACUGUAAUUCCCUCCAAGUUUGAAGUGACCUGAUCUCCACUUCCAAAACACAAAUGAAUUCUUAAAAUUCUUAAAAUUUUAUACCUAUUUUAAAAUAUUCCUAUCAGCAUUGUCCCCUGAAAACAUGCUGUGCUUGCCUUGUUUCUUCUUCAGGACUAACUCUACCCAUUAAACUCAUCUGUCAGUCAUAACGAAUAAUAUGCCACACACCCCCCCCCAGAUUAAUUGUCAGUGGGGAAAAAUUCUUUAAAAUAGCUGGAGAGAAUCCACUGUGUAAUCGCAAACUCUGUAUAGAUGGGCAGCCAGAUCACAUUUUUUGGAGAUCCAGAUCUCAUUGUCCUAAAGCUGUGGUUAGUUACAGUAGUUCCCACAAUUCCAUUGUCCCAGGCUACAGAAGUCCAUCCACAGUCAUCUAGAUCUCCGGAGGGCCUCUGCUUACCAAAGUAGUCAUCCUUUAGAAGAAUAUUCUCUUUCUACUUCCUAGGUUCGUUUUUGACCUUUGCCUUCUUGAGAUUGAAUUACUUGCUCUUAUUCAUUAGUUACUGUAAAUCCUUAAUGACCAAAUUUUAGCCACAUCGCAGAUGGACCAAAGGCCCAGCACAGUUUAGUCCUUUACUCAUAGACAGUGGAAUUCACCUCAUUUUAAUAGCCGAGUCUUCUGGAUGAAGAACAAAGGCUGACAAUACAUUUCAAGACAAUCUUCCACAGGCCCGUUUUAUUUCCACUCUUGCAUUCACCAGAGACCACAGUUCAUUUGAAUAAUUUGGGUCUUUUACUAUUAGCGCUAUGAACACUCUGUAUGAGAUAAUCCUUUAUUUGGGGACCAUUCUGUGCACGGCAGGGUGUGUGUCAGCACUCCUGCCCUCUGCCUCUGGCUUCCAAUAUGCUCUUCAAAUUAUGACAAGUGUCUUUUAGAUGUGGACACUAGAUCUGUCUUAUGUGGUCCCACACAAUUCUCAAGUCAGGGGGUAUUACAAACAUGGCCCACCAUGUGGUAACAUCAUCUGCAAAAUCACAAGAUUUUUCAAAAAACAUUUUCUGUGCAGAGCACAUUCAGUGUUUUCAAUGUUUUCUAACUAAAAGUCUGAGCUCAAACCACUACUCGUUUAUGAUGAAAACAAUUCUUUGGCUUUAUCUUCCUGAAUGAAUGUGAAUAUCUAUCAAUUUAAGACUUAAUCAAUUUAAGUAAAACUACUGUUAAGGGCUGGGGAGAUGGCUUAGUAGUUAAGAUAGCAACUGCCCUUGCAGAGGACUUGGGUCCAGUGCAAGCACCCACAACAGGCAACUUGCAAAUACCUGUAACCACAGCUGCAUGAGAUCUGAUGCCUCUGACUUCUGAGGGGACCCAUAUUAGUUUGCACAGACCUACACACAGACAUAUACAUAUGCAUAACUGAAAAUAAUGAAAGAAUAUGAAUUUAAUUUUAUAUUUUAAAGCUAGAUGAGCAGAGUUCUUCCUGUCACUAAAAGUCUGGAGCCUGGGUGGUCUGCGGACUGCCGAUCAAGGUCACGUCAAUGAGAAAAAGAGGAAAAUCUAUGCCAUGGCCACUGACAGUAUAAUCCUGCUGGGGACAUUUAAAGUAGUAUUUGUUUCACAAUCAUUUCCCACCCAUCUCUCUCACCCCACACCCAAUAUUCAAACAUAUGCUCAGAGCUUUCAGGAAGGAAGGAAGACUACCCAGGAGGCACGAAAUGAGCAUGAUUCAAAUGUUUUGUCAGCUGGAGUCCUAGCCAGUAACCAAUUUUCACAAACUCUUGUGCGUUAUUCAAAUUAUCAUAAUAUUAUUCAAAUAAUCAUAACACAGCAUUGGGUCUUUGACCUAUUAAUUAUCCUUUCAUCCGUUCCAUCCCCGCUGCCGAGUUAAUUAGUCAGAUGGCGGGGUCUCCGCUUUAUGUACAUUAUCUCAACGACAGAAAGCCACAAAGUUGUUUCAAGAACCACAGCAUUAGAGACAUCCUUUUCCGUCCUGAUAAUCAUGCAUGCAAAUUAUUUUUUAAUCUUUUUCUUCUAGAUAAUGGCCUUGCUAUUCAGAGAAGAGCCAGAGUCCUUCAUCUCUUUGCCACUGUGUGUGUUGAGGAAGAAAUAAGUAGUGACUAGAUGCCCGACACCCCAGAUUGCAUCCUGGCUCAGUUUUCCUCUUCUUGAAACAGGAGAUCACUUCUUAGACAAGUAGAAUUCUCUUUAUCCUGUCCCUUCUGCCCCAAAGCCAUGAUUGAGUGUGUUUGAUUGACACUGUUGGUGCGAUGCAACCCUGUCGUCUGCUACACCAACACUAUGGGCUCAUCAUUCAGAAACCCAAUCUCCAGCAGCUCACGAAGUGACUUCCUGAAAAUUCCUUUCUCACGCAGAGCUCACCCUGUGACAUCAGCCUCAGUCCUUAAGGAUGCCUACACAAAUCACUGAACACAUGGAUGAGAGCAAAGCCAUUGGUAGACAUCAUGUAUUUAUCCACCAGUCACAUUUAUUGUGUACCUAUGAUGUGCAACUACUGAUUUAGAUGAAUGAGGCAAAGAACGAAACCGAUCCGUGUCCUGAGGCUCCUCCUUUGUCAGCUUCACAGAGGAGCCCAAGGAGCCAACUUCAAGAGAUCUUGUAUCUUGGUGAUAAAUGGUGACAUACAACCCCUAAUCAGAGACAAGCUAAGUGAUGGAUGAAAUCCCCAAGCUCAUCAAGUUCGUCCACUUGGAAUUCACACCAAAAUGUUCACAGGCAAAUCCCAGGCUCAUGCUGAAAUUGCUAAAUUGGGCAGAGAAUCUCAUGAGAGUUCAGAACAUGAAA